UACGUAGGGGGGCAAGCGUUGUCCGGAGUUACUGGGCGUAAAGCGCACGCAGGCGGUCUGUUAAGUUUGGAGUGACAGUUGGUGGCUUAACUGCCAAAGUGCUUCGAAAACUGAUCGACUUGAGGGCUUCAGAGGGACACGGAAUUCCGGGUGGAGUGGUGAAAUGCGUAGAGAUCCGGAGGAACACCAAAGGCGAAGGCAGUGUCCUGGGGAGUACCUGACGCUCGAGGUGCGAAAGCCAGGGGAGCGAACGGG
rnacentral:rRNA from 1 species